GCUGGGUGCAGUGGUGCACAUCUGUAAUCCCAGGGGCUUGGGAGGCUGAGGCAGGAAGGUUGCAAAUUCAAAGACUUAGCAAGACCCUGUCUCCA
rnacentral:sRNA from 1 species